rnacentral:rRNA from 1 species
AUGAACGCUGGCGGCGUGCCUAAUACCUGCACGUCGAGCGAACAGACGAGGAGCUUGCUCCUCUGACGUUAGCGGCGGACGGGUGAGUAACACGUGGAUAACCUACCUAUAAGACUGGGAUAACUUCGGGAAACCGGAGCUAAUACCGGAUAAUAUAUUGAACCGCAUGGUUCAAUAGUGAAAGACGGUUUUGCUGUCACUUAUAGAUGGAUCCGCGCCGCAUUAGCUAGUUGGUAAGGUAACGGCUUACCAAGGCGACGAUGCGUAGCCGACCUGAGAGGGUGAUCGGCCACACUGGAACUGAGACACGGUCCAGACUCCUACGGGAGGCAGCAGUAGGGAAUCUUCCGCAAUGGGCGAAAGCCUGACGGAGCAACGCCGCGUGAGUGAUGAAGGUCUUCGGAUCGUAAAACUCUGUUAUUAGGGAAGAACAAAUGUGUAAGUAACUAUGCACGUCUUGACGGUACCUAAUCAGAAAGCCACGGCUAACUACGUG